rnacentral:rRNA from 1 species
UACGGGGGGGGCAAGCGUUGUUCGGAAUUACUGGGCGUAAAGGGUUUGUAGGUGGCUUGUUAAGUCAGACGUGAAAUCCCUCAGCUUAACUGGGGAACUGCGUCUGAUACUGGCGAGCUUGAGUGCAGGAGAGGAACGCGGAAUUCCAGGUGUAGCGGUGAAAUGCGCAGAUAUCGGGAGGAACACCAAUGGCGAAGGCAGCUCGCUGGGACGGUACUGACGCUGAGACGCGAAAGCGUGGGGAGCGAACAGG